UACGGGGGGAGCAAGCGUUGUUCGGAUUUACUGGGCGUAAAGGGCGCGUAGGCGGCCAGCACAAGUCAGUUGUGAAAUCUCCGGGCUUAACUCGGAAAGGUCAACUGAUACUGCGGGGCUAGAGUGCAGAAGGGGCAACUGGAAUUCUCGGUGUAGCGGUGAAAUGCGUAGAUAUCGAGAGGAACACCUGCGGCGAAGGCGGGUUGCUGGGCUGACACUGACGCUGAAGCGCGAAAGCUAGGGGAGCGAACGGG
rnacentral:rRNA from 1 species